CCAAAUUGAGUUCUAAAAAUUGUCACGUGUUCGUGACGUCGUGUAGAUCACCGUGGUGAAAAUUAUACAGAAGAAGAAUGUAACCAAUCUAGGGGAGGCUCAGGGACCUACGAGACGUUGAUGUGAUCUGUGAGUGGGCAGUUUUGUUUUCGUAUAUAUACGUAUGCUUGACGUAUUUCCCAAAAAACGUAUUUUAAAAGAAAUACGAAUUGAAUAUCCUGUCAUAUAUGCAUCGUAUUUUAA